GGGCCCGCACAAGCAGCGGAGCAUGUGGUUUAAUUCGAAGCAACGCGAAGAACCUUACCAGGUCUUGACAUCGUCUGCAUAGAGUAGAGAUACUUGAAACCCUUCGGGGCAGAUAGACAGGUGGUGCAUGGUUGUCGUCAGCUCGUGUCGUGAGAUGUUGGGUUAAGUCCCGCAACGAGCGCAACCCUUGUAAUUAGUUGCUACUAUUAAGUUAAGCACUCUAAUUAGACUGCCGUGGAUAACACGGAGGAAGGUGGGGAUGACGUCAAAUCAUCAUGCCCCUUAUGACCUGGGCUACACACGUGCUACAAUGGCUGUAACAAAGAGAUGCGAACCAGUGAUGGGGAGCAAAACUUAGAAAAGCAGUCCCAGUUCGGAUUGAUGGCUGCAACCCGCCAUCAUGAAGCCGGAGUUGCUAGUAAUCGCGAAUCAGCAUGUCGCGGUGAAUACGUUCCCGGGCCUU
rnacentral:rRNA from 1 species